rnacentral:lncRNA from 1 species
CCUAUGAAGCAAGACGUGUGUGUGUGUGUGUGUAUGUGUGUGUGUGUGUGUGUUUUACCAUCAUACAGUAGUUGUGACAGAGGCAGUAAAGAGGUCGGAUUGUGGUAGUAGUAGUGGUGGUAGUUGUGGUUGUAGGAUGGAGGUGGUUGUAGUGGUGAAAAUACUCUGUUUAUUAAGUGUUUCAUACACCGCAUCUGCUGAGCAUAACUGCUCCAAGUGGGUGACAACAGGAGUGGAUGAUACCUGGUCAGGACACCAAUUUGAAGCGCCAGUACCUACUUACCUGUACUUUCGAGGGCAGGAAAGUGAGGCAGUAACUAAUCUACAUAUAUGGUAUUAUAAGAAUCACUCAGAACAUUUCCUCACCACUCAGAAGUUAAUUUAUAAGAUCUCAGGUAAUCAGGUCUUUCACAUGGCUACAAUCAGAUCACAGAACCACCACAACACGACAAGAGCCCAGCUGUUUAUCAAUCCUCAACACCAAUUACUCCUGGGUCAAGGGUCGUUACAUAGUUUGAUCGUAACAAGCAAUUCGACUGUCUUAUGGCGAGGCUGUUACCAACCGGAUCUAUAUGGUACAAGCCCAGGUGCUACAUGCACAGGUACAAGCCCAGGUACUACAUGCACAGGUACAAGCCCAGGUACUACAUGCACAGGUACAAGCCCAGGUACUACAUGCACAGGUACAAGCCCAGGUACUACAUGCACAGGUACAAGCCCAGGUACUACAUGCACAGGUACAAGCCCAGUGUAUGCCUCGUGGUCUGGGUCAACCAGCGCCGCCAUACA